rnacentral:rRNA from 1 species
CGAAGGUAGCAUAAUCAGUAGUCUUUUAAUUGAAGGCUGGUAUGAAUGGUUGGAUGAGAUAUUAACUGUUUCAUUUAAAAUUUUUAUAGAAUUUUAUUUUUUAGUUAAAAAGCUAAAAUAUUAUUAAAAGACGAGAAGACCCUAUAAAUCUUUAUAUUUUAUUGUUAUUAAUUAUUUGGAUAUCUUUGGUUAUUAAUAGUUAAAAUAUUUUAUUGGGGUGAUAUUAAAAUUUAAUAAACUUUUAAUUUUUAAAUACAUAAAUUUAUGAUUUUUUGAUCCAUUAUUAAUGAUUAAAAAUUUAAGUUACUUUAGGGAUAACAGCGUAAUUUUUUUGGAGAGUUCAUAUCGAUAAAAAAGAUUGCGACCUCGAUGUUGGAUUAA